rnacentral:rRNA from 1 species
GAAUCCGAAGCGAAAGCGAGUCUGAAUAGGGCGCUAUAGUCAGUGGGGGUAGACGCGAAACCUUGUGAUCUACCCAUGGCCAGGUUGAAGUUUUGGUAACACAAAAUGGAGGACCGAACCAGUACACGUUGAAAAGUGUUUGGAUGAGCUGUGGGUAGGGGUGAAAGGCCAAUCAAACUGGGAAAUAGCUCGUACUCCCCGAAAUGUUUUUAGGAACAGCCUCGAUUUAUUGUUUGACGGAGGUAGAGCUACCAAUUGGACUAGGGGGUGUCACAACCUACCGAAUCCAGAUGAACUCCGAAUGCCGUCAAAUCUAUAUCGGGAGUGAGGGUAAGGGUGCUAAG